rnacentral:lncRNA from 1 species
CGUCCUACACCACUCGUGUGUUAGGGCGAAGAAUCACGAUGUUGAUUGCUGGUGUUUUCUUCAUUGGUGGAGUUAUCUUCAAUGCUGCUGCUCAAAACCUUGCCAUGCUUAUAGUUGGAAGAAUCUUACUUGGUUGUGGUGUUGGUUUUGCCAAUCAGGUAUAGUACCAUUUUUUCUUUCACUCAUUUAUUUAUUUUGUUAAACUUUAAUCAAUUAUUAUUUGUAUUAUUGUAGUCACAUGACAUUGUUCACUUUCAAUGCUAAAUUGAAUACACAACUACUAAUGCAUACAUGAUACAUGUGAUUCUCUCGUUGAUUACAUAUAAGUAAAUAAUACUUAUAGUGUAUACUAAUAAUUUAGUAAAAAAUGUACUAGUUGUUAUCUAGUGUAGGGUUGUUUAUAUUUGCUAAUUAGUCAUUAGGAUCAAGGUUUAUUUUUGUUUGUUUCGAGAGUGUAAAAGGUUAUGCUGUCAUGUGUUGAUUUAAUGUCUCUUACGUAGUAUACAUUUGUUUAUGUUACAUGAACUUUGCUAAUGUCGUAUUACCAUCUUUUUCACCAAUUUGGCGUUGUGUAUUGCGUGUGUGUAUAAAUAAUAUAUAUGACCGACGUAUAAAUAAAAUGAAAUAUGAAUAAUUGAAAUGAAAUAUUCUAUUGUGGAUUGUCACGCGUCAAUGGGAAACAAUUUUAUUUUAUUUUGAACUUAGGACUUUUGUGACAAUUUUGAGUCCAUAAUAUUUUUGGUUUGCCACUCCCAAAAUCCUUGUCACAUUAUUUCUACAAAUAUUUAUGGUCCUCGAUAGAGACCUUUUAAUUUGUUUUAUAUUACUACUUUUUGAUUAUUGAACAUGCUAUUCUGACAAUGAAAGCUCCGUUCAGAAUCAGAACUCAAUUUCUUUGAAUCUUCCAAAUUUUGAAAUUAAUAAUCUUGGGUUUUUUGUUUUAGAAUAGAGGAGUUAUACUUUGACAAAUUUUUUAGAUUUACAAUUUUUAAUUUUUGUUUUUUUUCUAUUGUCAUCACUUAUGUGGACCUUAAAUUUUGAUUCCUUUCGUACAUAAGCAUUAUAGCUAAGGUGCUUGUAGUCCAAAUCAUACAUCAUGGAAUUGAAAAAUAGCUUUCUAGCUAAGAAUUAAGUGUAUUAGUGAUAACAUGCAUGACCCUUAAUUAAGAUUUCUUUUUGUGAUUCAAUAUCUAACUAAAUACUUUUUUUUGUUUAAUUUGAUUAUAGGCUGUUCCAGUGUUUCUUUCUGAAAUUGCACCAUCAAGAAUACGUGGAGCAUUGAAUAUACUUUUCCAACUUAAUAUCACUAUUGGCAUUUUAUUUGCUAACCUUGUCAAUUAUGGAACCAACAAGUAAGUAUUUUUCUUGGGUAAUGUUACAUACUAGUGUUUUUUUCUUUUCUUCUUCAAUUUUGUUGUUAAUUGGAAAUGAAAACAAUUAAAAUGAUUGAUGAGUAAUAAAGCACAAGUCAUAGUCAAAAUUGUAGUAAACUAUUGACAUCAUUAGUAGUAAGUAAUACUACUAGUAAUAUUAGUAGUAGUUGGCAAAUUGAAUUUUAAUACACAGUGAAUAUUAAAUAACAAAAUUUUGGUCAUUUCUAUGACUUUUAUCAACAUAAAUUAGUACUAUUUAAAAGUGUAGCACAUGCUUGAUUCUUUGGUAGGUGUUCUCAACUAAAAACAGGACAAGUGUAUUAAUCCAUUAUUUUAAAUCUACAUGGGUCAACUUUGGUGGAUUUUAAAGUAGAUACACUUCAUAGAAACGUGGAUUUGUCUUGUGCAAUUCUUAAUCAGAGUGACUUCAGCACUUGAAAGUAUAUUUUUGUUACUAUAGUAUUAAAAAUAAAUAGUGUAAUUAAUAUUAGUAGCUAAAUUUUGAACCACACCUUUUGUAGAUAUUUGUUGAAUUUCAGGAGAUAUUGCUUCAAGAAACAAAUGAAUUCUAAAUGCAAUAAUGUAGUUUGAGUUAUGAGAAACUUGUUGAUUACUAACAAUUAUUUGAUGUUGUGACCAAAUGUAGAAUUGAAGGUGGAUGGGGUUGGAGGCUAUCUCUAGGGUUGGCUGGUAUCCCAGCACUUCUCCUAACAGUUGGUGCCCUUUUGGUUGUUGACACACCUAACAGUCUCAUUGAACGUGGUCGUACGGAAGAAGGAAAAGCUGCACUAAAAAAGAUUCGUGGCACUGAUAACAUUGAACCAGAGUUCUUGGAACUUGUUGAGGCAAGUCGUGUAGCUCAAGAGGUUAAACAUCCUUUUAGAAAUCUUCUCAAACGCAAGAACCGACCUCAACUUGUCAUUUCCAUCGCCUUGCAAGUAAGUACUACUAUAUAACUAGUCAGGGGCCCGUGCAUAUGCACGGGGGAACUGAUCUCAUCUUAAAAUUUUAGUCACAUUGAAAUAAUUAAAUAUUAAAAUUUGUUUUGUUCAAUUGCUGAUUCAAAUAACAGAUAUUUCAACAAUUCACUGGCAUCAAUGCGAUCAUGUUUUAUGCGCCAGUGUUAUUCAACACAUUGGGAUUCAAGAAUGAUGCUUCACUCUAUUCGGCUGUGAUAACCGGUGCUGUGAAUGUGCUCUCCACAGUUGUGUCUAUCUACUCGGUGGACAAACUUGGACGUCGUAUGUUAUUGUUAGAAGCCGGUGUACAAAUGUUCUUGUCUCAAGUCGUGAUAGCUAUCAUUUUAGGUUUUAAGGUCACUGAUCAUUCAGAUGAGCUCUCAAAAGGUUACGCAAUAUUCGUAGUUAUCUUGGUUUGCACUUUUGUGUCUGCUUUUGCUUGGUCUUGGGGUCCUCUUGGAUGGCUUAUUCCAAGUGAGAUAUUUCCAUUGGAGACUCGUUCCGCCGGACAAAGUGUCACUGUUUGUGUAAACUUGCUCUUCACAUUUGUCAUUGCACAAGCUUUUCUAUCUAUGUUGUGUCACUUCAAAUUUGGCAUUUUCAUUUUCUUCUCUAGCUGGGUUUUCAUCAUGUCAAUCUUUGUGUUUUUCUUGGUGCCGGAGACGAAGAACAUACCGAUUGAAGAGAUGACGGAGAGAGUAUGGAAGAAACAUUGGUUCUGGAAGAGAUUUACCGAAGAUGAGUAUACCAAUGACAAAAUAGCCAAUGCUGAUUAUCAGUUGUAAAUUGGUGGAGUUUCUUGCAAAUACCAAAUAUGAGUAUUUUAGUCUCUUAGAGAAAAUAUAUAAUAUUAAGCAAGUUAUCAUUGCAAUCACAAAUUAACUAUCCUGUUUUGGAUUUUAUUUCUUUUUUACCCCCUCCUCUGUUUCUUUUUUUGUGAAAAGUUUGUUACAUACAAAUUUUGCUAUGGAAACAAUAAUAUGGAUUAAUUAUUUAAUUUCCAAAUGUGUGGUUUAUGUUCUAUUCUAUNNNNNNNNNNNNNNNNNNNNNNNNNNNNNNNNNNNNNNNNNNNNNNNNNNNNNNNNUAACUGCAAGUUCCCUCUAAAAAUUUGUUUCAAAUAUUAGUCUCUAAAUUUUCUGUUACCAUUUUAAGAGAAUUUCGACAAAAAAAUAGCGAAUAAUUGAUAAGUUAGCUUAUAGCAAAUAGCUUAUAAGAUAAUUUAUAGCAGAUAAACUUAACGAUUGAAUUUGUAGUGCUUAAUAAAAUUAACGAUUAAACUUUCUUAUAAAUAUAAAAUGAUAUAAGAAAGAUAAGUUUAAUUCAUAUUUCAUUUUUUUUAAGUAAGAUUUUUUAAUUUUUUUAAUAAAGGCCACAAGAGUACAAAUGUGACAUCUAUGUUAACACUCCCAAGAAACCACCUAAAAGUAUCCUUGUGAAAUUUAUUAAAAUAAAAUAAAAUAAGAAAGAUACAAAGAAUCUUGAGGGGACUAGACCAAAACCCAUGGUGUAAGAAUUUCUCUACUUCAUUAAAAACCUCACCAAAGAAAAUCUAAUGGGAUAAAACCUUGAUGAAGAAAAAAAUAGUAUAGAGAUAAAAUAAAGAUUCGAACAUAAACAAUAAUAUCAACAAAAUCUAUAUAAAGGUAAACCUAACUGUUUUUUUUUUGUAAAUAAGAUGACUAGAGUAAAAUUGAAAGGAAAAAAAAUAUAAGAUAUAAAGUUUACGUUAAUUGAAUUAGCUUACCAAAAUAGUAUUAAGCAAGUAAAAAUAAGCUAUCAACCCGUAAGAAAAUGAGAUUACCAAAAAUGGUAAAAUUUAUGACUCUUAAAGUUUUUAAUGUGAAGAUUCAUCCUCCUAAAACUCCUAAAAUAAAAUAAAAAUAAUUGUGACAUCCUUUCUCAAGUCAAUUUUUUUUUUCUUUAACAAUUGUUUUAAGAUACUCUUUUACAGGGCUAGCCAACAAACUUUAUAACGAGACUUUCAAAAAUAUAAUACUAAACUUAAAAAUUUAAAUUAAUUUUUGUUGAAUAUGAGACUAGGUCUUAGAACAUGCAUGGAACCUCAUCACUUAACCAAAUGUGCCGGUUAAACUAUUAUGUAUUUAUAACUAAUUUUAAAAAAAAAUUGGGAUCUUUUUUUAACCAAAAUUAUGAGGCCUAAAACUCUUCCUUAGAUUAGGCCUUUAGGCGACCUUGCUCUUUUAACAUUUUUCUAGAUUACUCAAAAAAGAAUAGAUCAGAUGGCAAUGACUCGCAAGACUUUAAAAAAAAAUACAACAAAGAGAAAAUUUGUACCAAAAAGAAAAAAUGAAAAGCAACGUAGGGCAUAAAAGCAGAGGCGGCUUGGAGGCAUGUGCGAGGUGUGCGACGGUAUAGGGUCUCAAAAUUUUGAGGGCCUCAAUUCAAAAUUUUGAGGUCCUAUAAUAUUUUUUUGAAAAAGCUAAAUUAGCCCACCCAAAUUGGCGUCAGAGAGAAUCAAACCUCAGACCUCAAGAGAAGUACACUCACAGGUCCUAAGCCAAUACCAAUGCACUAACCCAAGUGAGUUUGAGGUCCUAUAAUAUUAUUUAUAUAUUAUUUAUAACUAUAAAAUAUCAGAUGUAUAUUAAUAGAUUAAUUUUUAGGCCCUAAAAUAAUAGUUAUAUAUUGUUAAUGUUCAUAAAUAUCAUAUGAGUAUCAAUAUAUUAGUUAUCUAUACUCAUAAAUAUAGUUCUAGCCCAUUUUAAUCUUUGCAUAAAAUUUAAUUUUAGAUUAUGAUGUUCAUUUUUUACGUUAUAUACAAAGAUAAUUAUUUUGUAUUUCUUGUUCCAUUUAAUUUAAUGCAAUAUUUAAUAUUCAUAAUUUAUAUGUUUACAAGAAUGUUUUUUUUUUAUUAUAUGCAAUUUAAAUCGAUAAUUUUUUUAAAUUUUUUUUUAUUAAGGGAACACUUUUAUAUUUUGCACAGAAUCUCCUAAAACUCGGAGACGCCCCUGCAUAAAAGUGGGGGUAAUUCUUACUUAGUCACAAGGUCAAUAAAAAUUAUUUUAACAUACACGAAAGUAUGAAAAAAUAAAAUAUAAAUAAAUUAAAUAAUAUGAAUUUUUUUUGGUACAUAAAGGAGGGCAAUAAUAUGAAUUUUUAAAUGAAUAAGUUAUAUAUCCUUUAUUUUUUUUAUAAGCGAAUAAAAGCAUCCACAAUGGAGAUACUCAUUUUUUAGUAUUUAACUGGGCCCCACAUGUACACAUCACUCAUUUAUAAUUUUUUUAAUAAUAGUACCUAAUAAGUACUCAUUUUUCCAACCCAACAUCUCUUAAAAAGUUCUAGAUAGACCAUACUAAUAACACAUCUCACCAAUAACUAUAUAUCAUUAUAAAUGAGACCCACGAAAACAAAAUAGAUACGGAUGCUUAUUGUAGAACUAGUAUCUAUUUGGUACUCAAAUGAGUAUUGCUCUAAUGGUAGCACCUAUUAAAUACUAUAAGUACUAAAUAAGUGCUAUAUCAUUGAAGAUGGUCUAAGUUAUAUAUUCUGAUGAGCGCGUGUCUAGAUUUUUUAUAUUUAGAUUUAAGGUCUAUAACUCUUAGUUAGGUCACUUAAUCUUUAGAUAUACAGUAUGUCUAAUGUAUUUUAGUUAGAUUUAUUUAUGGCCCAAAUAAGUGUAGCCGGAAGAGUGGUCAUAGUCAGUCAACUUUGGCCACUUCACUUUGUCUAAUUUCCUCUUUAUAUAAUCUUUGUUUUCCACCGAUUAAUUGCAUUGCAUUAUAUGUGGAUGCAUACAUAUAAUUCAUAGUUUUGAUUCACCAUCAUCUCAAUUAUUUUAGUACGUUAUAUAUCUAAGUUUUUGAUCGGCAACACCAGCUUGUUAACCAUGGCUGGCGGAGGUUUCAUCACCAGCGCCAGCAGCAACAAUUUUGAGGCAAAAAUAACUCCAAUAGUUAUAAUUUCAUGUAUCAUGGCUGCCACUGGUGGUCUCAUGUUCGGUUACGACGUUGGUGUUUCGGGUACAAUUUUCUUUUCUUUCUAUGUUCUUUUCGCAGAGUGAAACUACUUGUUACUCUGUUUCAAUUUUUAUAAGAUGAAUAUAAUUAAUUAACUACAUCUUAAUCAUAUAAUUAAUGACCUCAUUUCUAUUUUGGUUCAAAAUUAAUAUAAAAUUAUAUUAUAGAGUAACAAAAUUUGUAUUAUGAUGAUAGGUGGUGUAACAGCUAUGCCACCAUUCUUGAAGAAGUUCUUCCCAGCAGUAUACAGAAAGACAGUGCUAGAAAAAGGAUUAGAUAGUAAUUACUGCAAAUACAACAAUCAAGGAUUACAAUUAUUUACAUCGUCCUUAUAUCUAGCUGGUUUAACAGCCACUUUCUUCGCAUCCUAUACCACUCGAGUGUUGGGGAGAAGACUAACGAUGUUGAUAGCUGGUUUUUUCUUCAUUGGUGGAGUUAUCUUCAAUGCUGCUGCUCAAAACCUUGCCAUGCUUAUAGUUGGAAGAAUCUUACUUGGUUUUGGAGUUGGUUUUGCUAACCAGGUGCCCUCUUUUUCUUCCACUCUUUCAUUUUGUUAAAUUCUUGAUCAAUAGUACUCUUGACUCAAUUAUAGUUUUUUUUUUUCUUUCUAUAAAUCCCUUGUGAAUUAUUGUGAUGUUGACAAUGUUUGAUGUCAAUUAUGUUUCCCCCUUUUCUGUUUUUUAAUUUCUUAUAGAAAAUGACAUUUGAUUUAGCCAUUUAGGUGAAUGAUGCUGGGUGUUUUAUUUUCUUCUUUUUUGACUGAAAACAUUACUAUUAUUGUCUAAUAAUAUUACAUACUCCCUCAGUUCCUUUAAUCUCUCAAUAACUCAUACUUCACAUUUUCUAUAAAAUCAAUUUUAUUUUUUUUCAAUAACUACAUUUCUUUUUUCAAAAUAAAGGUAAAAUAGGGGGAAAAAGUCCAACUAUUUCCAAUCUUAGUUCAAGAUUUUUAUGUUAAAACGACACUUAAAAAUGAAUGGAGAGAAUAAUAAGUAUAUUAGUUAUUUCUUUUAUUAAGUAUAUUAGUUAUUAAUGAUAAGACUCGAGUUAAGUCGAUAUAACAUAAGGCUGGUUUAGAGGUU